AACGAACGCUGGCGGCAGGCUUAACACAUGCAAGUCGAACGCGUGUAGCAAUACACGAGUGGCGCACGGGUGAGUAACGCGUGGAUAUCUGCCUUUUGGUUCGGAAUAACUCCGGGAAACUGGAGCUAAUACCGGAUGGUUCCUUCGGGAUAAAGAUUUAUCGCCAAAAGAUGAGUCCGCGUACGAUUAGCUAGUUGGUGAGGUAAUGGCUCACCAAGGCGACGAUCGUUAGCUGGUCUGAGAGGACGAUCAGCCACACUGGGACUGAGACACGGCCCAGACUCCUACGGGAGGCAGCAGUGGGGAAUAUUGGACAAUGGGGGCAACCCUGAUCCAGCCAUGCCGCGUGAGUGAUGAAGGCCUUCGGGUUGUAAAGCUCUUUUGGCGGGGACGAUGAUGACGGUACCCGCAGAAUAAGCCCCGGCUAACUUCGUGCCAGCAGCCGCGGUAAAAC
rnacentral:rRNA from 1 species